AAAUAAUGAAUAAUGGAAAUAAUGAAAUCCACAUGCUAGAUUUGUGAUUCCGCAGCCUCCACUGGAAAAUCGAAUUCUGCUAAUCUUCAAGAGCGGCUUGUCAGCCUGAGAGAACCAAUGAGACCACCAACUUCAUCCAUUCCACCAGCCCUGGGUCCAAAUAUCGAAGCACCUGAGAGAUUAAGUUUGCUGAGUUUCAAGGACCAGUUCCUACCCAAAUCCGUGUCUCCAGCUCUCCACUCAUACUCUCUGUCCAGGAACUCACAAUCCAUCGGGGAAGCCUGACACCCAAACAUUAGGAAACAGAGGGAGGAGAGAAUGGAAAGAUGGAUAUGCACCUGACCAAAUACUUCACUGAUGGCUGCUCUUCUGGGAACCUGAGACAAUUAGAGCCCAAUCCCAACUCUCAGAUUUUCCUGCCUGCCUAUUCUGUGGAGCAUCAAUUUUUGACUGG